UGCGUAGGGUGCAAGCGUUAAUCGGAAUUACUGGGCGUAAAGCGUGCGCAGGCGGUUAUGCAAGACAGAUGUGAAAUCCCCGGGCUUAACCUGGGAACUGCAUUUGUGACUGCAUGGCUGGAGUGCGGCAGAGGGGGAUGGAAUUCCGCGUGUAGCAGUGAAAUGCGUAGAUAUGCGGAGGAACACCGAUGGCGAAGGCAAUCCCCUGGGCCUGCACUGACGCUCAUGCACGAAAGCGUGGGGAGCAAACAGG
rnacentral:rRNA from 1 species